AUUGAACGCUGGCGGCAGGCCUAACACAUGCAAGUCGAACGAGUGGCGGAAGGGUGAGUAAUGUCUGGGAAACUGCCCGAUGGAGGGGGAUAACUACUGGAAACGGUAGCUAAUACCGCAUACCAUCGGAUGUGCCCAGAUGGGAAUAGCUAGUAGGUGGGGUAAUGGCUCACCUAGGCGACGAUCCCUAGCUGGACUUAGAGGGUGACCAGCCACUCUGGAACUUAGACACGGUCCAGACGCCUACGGGAGGCAGCAGUGGGGAAUAUUGCACAAUGGGCGCAAGCCUGAUGCAGCCAGGCCGCGUGUAUGAAGAAGGCCUUCGGGUUGUAAAGUACUUUCAGCGGGGAGGCGUUACCCGCAGAAGAAGCACCGGCUAACUCCGUGCCAGCAGCCGCGGUAUU
rnacentral:rRNA from 1 species